rfam:Chloroflexi bacterium GWB2_54_36 gwb2_scaffold_1988, whole genome shotgun sequence.
GUAUUAUAAGGCGGCGAAGAUCUAUGUGCCAAAACAUGGUCGCUUGAUCCUGAAAGUGGGGACAGGUGCAUAGGGAGCCAGUAGCGAAACCGGCCUUUGGGCUG